AUGACGCAGUAGCCCGAUUUUAAGUGCCUUUGGAGGCCAUUGGAGUGCAUUCAAGCAUAAGAUUAUUUCAAUAAGGUCAUUUUCUCUAGAAAGUCUCUUACUGCUGUUCUUAAUUGGAAUUUGAUAUAAACGUGCUUUGUCUGAUCCCAUACCCUAACCUCCAUUGACAGUAACAUACAGCUGCUACAUUAUUAAAUCUACAGUAUUCUUUAUGUGUAGACAUGUCAAAUUGAUCUUCAUUUAAUUGCACUAGAGGGCACACGCAAGUUGGAUUUUGACUAAAUUUGUACAAAUGCUUCCCACUUAUUGUUUGAUCAAAUUUUGUCAAAAUUUGACUUGCACACGCAUCGCGUGUGCCCCGGUCUCUAGUGGGAUAUUAAUAGUUGACAAAACGUAAUUGGGAUCUAAAUGUAUAUACGUUUUGGUGUCGAAUGUUGGUAUAUCCAGCUAUGCAGCGGGAACAGUUGUUUGCAUGGGCUUAACAUUAUAUAUUUCUUUUCCGUGUAGUUCAAGAAAAUUAUGUUGAAGCCUCUCCAUAUCCACUUACGUACCUGUAUGCACCCUAGAUAUACCCAAAUUCUUAAUCAGCUACAACAGUAUUAGGAAAAAAUUGGUCACGUAAUCCAUGUACCUUAUACCCAGUACAAUAAGUCAUGCCCGGGCUAUACCAACAUCAAAUUUGGAUUCAAUGGCAUCAUUGUAGACGUACCCAUGCUUCAUAUAUCUCCAGAUGUAGUUUUAUAGUUGAAAUUGUUAAUGCCCAAUUUAGAUUACCAAAUCUGGUAUUUUCAACCGUUGGUCGUACACUACUGAUUUGUUGCUACCAAUUUUAAUCUAUUCAGGCAUUUGUUUUAGAUAAUCUGCUAGCUAUCUACUCCCUCUGUCCCCAUUCUUUUAUCCCUUUUAGGAGUCCGUGUUACUUUUCAAUUGAUUAUAUCUUGCAAUCUAUAAUGUUUUAGGUGAUUUUGAAAACAUCGUUUAAAAGAGCUCAUUGAGAUCUAUCAAACAAGAUCCAUAUUGCAUAUAAUAGGUAUUACCAAUUAAAAGUUAUAAUUAGUUUUUUAGCUGGUUAGGAUAGGACGAGGGACGAUAGAAUGGGGACGGAGGGAGUAAUAAGUUUGCAUUGAAGGAUUUCUUGAGUCCCAUGUCAACUAGAUUCCUCAUAACUUAACGUACUUAUCUAUUCUAUAACUUAUCGUACAUAACAAUAUAUUUGUACAGAUAUGAUUGAACGUAUCCUAAAUGGGACCGUGUUUUACAUCAUAGAGAAAUAACAUAGUUGCGUGUGUGUUUUAAGCAUAUUUGUGUCUUGUGUCCGUAUCUAUGCUUCUUAGAGUGGGAGAGUAGUUUUAUGCAAAACGAAAAGAAUAUUAAUAGUUUCUCCUGUUGCCACUAUUAUUGUCACAGAAGCAUGCAAUUUUAGUUUCGGCUUUAUGACAAGGGGUUGUGUAAAGCACGAAGUGUCAGACUUGAGUCAAAUAUGGCAUAACAAUAUGGUGCCGAAGGUGAUUUCUCCUACAUAAACAAGCGCCAAAAUGUUCUUAAACUGUUUGAUUUGGCUGGAGAAAGGCAAAUAUGAGGAAUUUACCUCAUCUUCUCACUUGUUCCAUGGAGGGUCAAAGUUGGAUGCUGACAUCGUGCUCGAGCAGAUUCCAUAAUGGUCAAACAAUAUGGAAAAGUCAUGACUCUGAAAUCGACAAUCCCGUGAAACUGGCGCUCUCUUUGAUCGUCUCUGCCCUUUACUUAUUAUUAGGCAGGCUGCUUCCACUGAGGGUUUUUAAUAAUCUCGACUUUUCCUUGAUGUAUGGUGUUCUUCGGGACCAAGGGCAUUUAAUAAUUUUGAGUUUGAUGAUGUUCGGAAACUUGCAGCUGAACUCUCUGGGCGGAUUCAUCCUCAACGAACUACUUCCAAUUAUUGCCUCACAGUUGGAAGAUUCAGCAAAUGCUCAUGAAAUACCAAAAAUAAAAGCUUGUUUGUUUGCAUUAUGCACAUCAUUUGUGAUUAGAGGCAGGGAUUCAAUUGUGCAUCCAGGUAUGCUUGAAAUUAGGAACACUAUAGAAACUAUCCUGUUGUGGCCUACUCUCUAUGGAGAUGAAGGUACUCCCUCUGUCCCUCGGAUUUCCAAAGUCAGGGUAUAGAAGUUUUAGUAUCCAAAACUAUUAGUUAAAAAAUGGCUUUAGAUAUACUCCGUAGUGAAAAGGGGUGAUCCAUUUAAGUAAUGCAUUCGAAGUACCUAAUGCUAUUGUUAAAUGUCUCCUUAAGAAGCUGAAACUCCCAAAAGGGAGGAAGAUUACGGGACAGAGGGUGCAGUUAGUUUGCUUUCCAAAAUUUGCUGAUCCCCUCGUUGCUCCUAAACCUGACAGCCGCAAAUAUCUUUUUCCAUUUCAGUUUCUAAAGCCCAACAUGGUGCAUUGAUUGCCUAGCAUUGAUGAUAUGUACUGAACUGCAAGAUCCCGAAUUAUUCAGGGAUGUGACCACAAAGAAAUCAAGUCUCGUCAGAACUCCCUGCUGGUCUCGGGCGACUUCCUGCAUUGGUUGAAACAUUUCCAAGUGCAGAGCAAAGGCAUUGUUGCAAACAUUUGCUCAGUAACUUCAUGAAGAUUUUCAAAGGCCUGUCACUUGAAGAAAAAUUCUGGUAGUGUGCCAAAGCAGCUCAUGUUGCUCAAUUUCAGUAUGCAAUGGAGGUUAUGAAUAAAGAGAAUCCUGAUGCAUGCAAGUGGUUGGAGGCUGAACCUGCAAGAGUUACAAACACUGGACUGGGCAGGCUUGCAAGCACCGGAAAAGGUCAAGGUGGUACCCAACCUCAGUUUGAAGGCACAAGGGUUCGCACAAGGAGGGGAGGCACUGCAAUGUUAGGCAUUGGUGGCAGGGUUCAAUGGAAAGCAAAUGAGGUAACACUAUUAAUUUUAUGUGCAUAACAGAUUAAAGUUGAUAAGUAGUCAUAACAAUAAUAGUUACUCAUACAUAAUUACAUCAAAAGUGCUAGUUACAAAGAAAAAGUACAUGGAAAUUACCUAGAAUAUACUUUUAGAGGUAUUUAUGACCGGUAAGAGACUUUUAUUAACGGUAAGAAACCUCUAUUCUGUGUGAUUUCCGGGUAUAUUUUCUUUGUACCUAGCAUUCCCCUCUAAUUAUAUACUACCUCUUCUGCUGGCUAAUGUACCUUCAAACUACGCACAAGUUACACAGCCCUCACAACUUGCUGGUGAGAGCAAUUUUGUUCACCGUCCCUAAAAGAGGGUGAACAAAACCCUCUCUCAUUGGCUAAGAGAAGAGUGGGGACCACUAUUAACUUCUAUUAACCCAACCAAACCUAACCCAAGUAAGCUUUUGUUCUUAAUUUCAAAAAAAAAUGCUGAACUAGUUUUGCCUUUUCCACUUCUCCCCCUCCCUCCUGAAUGACCUUUUUUUUUUUAUCCGAAAUGACGCUUAUUAAUUACUGUAAUAUCUUCUCUCAUGCAAUACCCCAACGCUACCUUUUGUUUUGUGAUGUAUAUCCCAAGCCGUAAUUCAUAAUCUUCAAUUUUUUGCAAUACCAACAUUCAUAAUUACAGAAAAGUAUUUCAAUUGAAUAUGGGUUGUUCGGCUAAAUAAGCCACUUGGCUUCUUUUUUUUUUUUUUUUUGUCCUGAUUCAAUUCUUUUUUGCAUUUGAUAGUUUUACGUCAAAAUUUUUGGGGAUUAUUGUUUCUUCAUGACGAGAGGAAUCUAAAAAGUAAAAAAAUACAAUUGAAAUCCAUUUUUUUUGAAUAAAGACGAAAAAAUUGGCUUAUUUUUGUCUUUAGUAAAAAAAAAAGAGAGGUUUUGAUCGUAAUUUUUUACUUUUUAGAUUCCUGUCGUCAUAAUGAAGCAAUAAUCCGCAACAAAUUGACCAAAAACUAACAAAUACAGAAAAAAAUUUGAAUAAGGAUAAAAAAAUAAACCACUUGACUUAUUUAGCUGAACAAAGGGGGGCAACAAUCAAUUCCCAGCAAUUUCACUACUAUCCUCAAAUUUCCUUAGCUCUGCAUUGCCAAAAUUACUGUAAGCGAGCAACGGACCGUAAAAGAAAAACCAAAGCUAGUUUUCUGUAAAAGGCAAUUUCAAUUACAGAAUCGGCACAAUCUGCAACUACAGAAAGCUAUAUCAGUGUCGCCUUCCAAAAGUUAUACUAAAGCCAUCUAUUGUUCUACAAGGAUAUAACUUACUGUUCAAGACAUUACAGUUUCAAAACAUUACUUACAAUGCAACUUUUUUGUGAGAAAUGUCAAGUUUCAAAAAAUUACAGUUGAAGUGUGCAUUUAAACUUCAUAAACACCCAGCAA